UCCCGUGUGGCUCAGUUGGUAGAGCAUGGUACUUGCAAUGCCAGGGUUGUAGGUUUGAUUCCCACGUGGGAC
rfam:Salmo salar isolate Sally breed double haploid chromosome ssa02, whole genome shotgun sequence.